AGUAAGGUUGUGACCAUAGACUAUAUAUUACAUGGACUGCCAACUCUACGCACUAAGCCUAUAUUUUUCAAUAAACAAGUCCCGUUCACGGAGGCGUCCUUGGUUGCGUGGUAAAUUGACUUCCGGUAGAUUUUUUUUUACGUAUAAAGAAACCAUUCUCGAAGAUUUUUACCACCACUUUUACAGCAAAUCAUGAAUGGAAACUGAAUUGUUAAAGAAGAUGUUACAGAGGAGCAUACUACUUCCACAAACCUGAUUUGAUUGUCACUAACUUUCAAAUUGAAAGGGAUCUACUACAACUGCUCAUGAAUUUCGAGAUUUUACAGCUAAUAGAGGAACAAAUUUUAUCGGCUUCCACUUAGCCAAA